AACGCACCUUGCGCUCCUUGGUAUUCCUCGGAGCAUGCCUGUUUGAGUAUCAUGGAAUUCUCAACUCCCAAGUUUCUUAUAGAAGCAUGGUGAGCUUGGACUUGGAGGAUUUGUGCUGGCUAUUAAUCUAGUCGGCUCCUCUGAAAUGCAUUAGCAUGAAUUUUGCGAUCAUCUUCAGUGUGAUAAUUGUCUACGCUGUGAAUGUGAAGCAAUUUAUAUUUAUGCUUAUAGUCGUCUUUUAAAGACACUUUCUUGACUUCUGAUCUCAAAUCAGGUAGGACUACCCGCUGAACUUAA
rnacentral:misc_RNA from 1 species